GGUAAUGAUCAUUUCAGCAGUUAAACUGAAUCUGUAGCACCUGUGCAUCUUCUUGGGCAAAGCAGAAGUGGCUUCAGUUGUCAGGAAUUGAAUGUAUUUGACUUUCCUCCUCCUGAAGAAUGUGUAGCAUAAAAAACAAUGAACCAAAAAUGGGAUGUCACCCAAGAAAAAACAGAGAAGCAAAUAGAACCUGGAAAAAUGAGAACACAGGAAAACAAGACACAAUACAGAAGUGUUUUCAGAGACUACCAAGCUGAUCACCGUGAUGGAAGCGUAGAAAGACUACAUUAUUCUGUGAUGCUGAUGGAGAGCUGAGAAAAUUAGAAGAGGCAAGGAAUAUACACUGCAAGCUGUAUUUUUCUCAUUAAUGUGCAAAAGAGGUGAUGAAGAUUAGGGACUUAUCACACUGCUACCAUCCCCCAACAGCAGCAGAAUUAUGAAAUAUGCCCCCUGCUGCUGGUCUUAGAAGGGCCCAGAAACCUGAGCCAGGGAUGAUAAAUAGCUCAGGUAAUGGUAGGAUUUUUCUUCUCUACUUUGGUCUUUGUAAAGUAAGCACUCUGUUUAUUUGUUCGGUAAGGAGGAGUAAGUCUUAGUGUGAAACAUUUGAUGCACAAACAUCUGAGUCAGCUGCAUUUUUUAUUUUGGAUGAUCAAGUAUCAUCAGCAAAAUAUUAACUGCACAGUAUGAAGUAAGCACUGGUAAAAUUUAAAGGGUUUAAAACGCACUUAAUCCUGUUUCCAUCUGCAUCUGUGUAUAUUUUGAUGGGGGAUCCAGUGAAAUAUCUUUUGUGUAGUUAUCGAAAUUCACAGUGCAAACUUCAUUAAACGAUGAAAUGAACAAUAUGAAAAAAAAAAGCCUUUUUCCCUCUAUGAUUAGUAAUUUUAAUAGGAGAAUUGACUGAGUAUAGUGUCUAACUGUCAAGAUCUGAAGAAAACAAAAUGGAAAACAUAUUUUUCAGGCAUCAUUGGUUUGCCUGCACAUGCGCUUCAAAUACAUUUCUAAAUACAACUGAGAGAUAUGGAUCAUUAAAACACCCGACAAAGAUUGAGAUAACUGCUUUUUAGGUCGGAGUUCUUAAGCGG
rnacentral:lncRNA from 1 species